rnacentral:tRNA from 1 species
CAGAUACUCUAAAACCUU